GGCUGUUCCCCUCUGGAGGUUCAGACCUUCACACCUAAAGGGCCCAGGCUUUUGCUUGUGGCCCUCUUUUUUUGCCUGC
rnacentral:sRNA from 1 species